rnacentral:rRNA from 1 species
UACGGAGGGUGCAAGCGUUAUCCGGAUUUACUGGGUUUAAAGGGUGUGUAGGCGGACUAUUAAGUCAGUGGUGAAAUCCCGAGGCUCAACCUCGGAACUGCCUUUGAUACUAUUAGUCUUGAAUGUUGUUGAGGUGGGCGGAACGGGUCAUGUAGCGGUGAAAUGCAUAGAUAUGUGGAGGAAUACCGAUGGCGAAGGCAGCCCCCUGGGAUAACACUGACGCUCAUGCACGAAAGCGUGGGGAGCAAACAGG